rnacentral:rRNA from 1 species
AGGCCCCCCCCAGGAGGGGACCCUGCGGUUUAUUUUGACUCACCACGGGAAAACUCCCCCGGCCGGGACCCCGAAAGGAUUGACAGAUUGAAAGUUUUUUCUUAUUUCGGGGGGGGGGGGGGCAUGGCCGUUCUUAGUUGGGGGAGCGAUUUGUCGGGUUAAUUCCAAUAACAAACGAAAUCCUGGCCUAUUAAAAAGACGAACUUUGUCUCUGUAUACCGCGCUUCUUAGAGGGACUAGCGGCGUCCAGCCGCAUGAAAUAGAGCAAUAACAGGUCUGUGAUGCCCUUAGAUGUCCGGGGCUGCACGGCGCGCUACACUGGAAAAUCAGCGGUGCUUGUCCCUCCCCCGGAAGAACCGGAAACCCCCAGAAAAUUUGUUGGGGCUGGGAUUGGGAAAUUGCAUUUAUUUCCCUGAAACAAGAAAUUCCAGUAAGAUGCAGGUCAUAAGUUCGGUUUGAUUACGUCCCUGCCCUUUGACCCCACCGCCGGCCGUUACUACCGAUUAGACGACUCAAGGA